rnacentral:rRNA from 1 species
CUGACGGUGCUGCGGGCUCCAAAAAAGUUGCUCAAAGACCUCGGCAAGUGUAGGCGGCGCUUCCUUUGGGCUCACGACGAGGAACUCUCCGGUGGCAAAUGCAAGGUCAACUGGCCCACCGUCUGCUCCCCGACGGACUACGGUGGCCUCGGCGCUCUUGAUCUGCCGUAGUUUUCUCGCGCGCGUAGGCUCAGGUGGCUCAGGUUCCGCUGGCGCAACCACGAUCGGCCUUGGGCGGGCUCGGAGCUGCCCUGCGACGACUCAGACAAAAAGCUUUUCGCUGCAGCAACAAAGGUGAUUAUUGGUAACGGGGAAACUGCCUCGUUCUGGAGCUGUGCGUGGCUGGGAUCAACGACCCUGCGAUCCUCCUUCCCGGCUCAGUACGCCCACGCGUGGAGAAAAAACAGAUCAGUUAAGGAAGCCCUCUCUGCAGGCACCUAG